rnacentral:rRNA from 1 species
UACGUAGGGCGCAAGCGUUGUCCGGAAUUAUUGGGCGUAAAGAGCUCGUAGGCGGUUUGUCGCGUCGGAUGUGAAAGCCCGGGGCUUAACUCCGGGUCUGCAUUCGAUACGGGCAGACUAGAGUGUGGUAGGGGAGAUCGGAAUUCCUGGUGUAGCGGUGAAAUGCGCAGAUAUCAGGAGGAACACCGGUGGCGAAGGCGGGUCUCUGGGCCGAUACUGACGCUGAGGAGCGAAAGCGUGGGAGCAAACAGG